GAUGAACGCUGGCGGCGUGCCUAAUACAUGCAAGUAGAACGCUGAAGGAGGAGCUUGCUUCUCUGGAUGAGUUGCGCACGGGUGAGUAACCCGUAGGUAACCUGCCUGGUAGCGGGGGACAACUAUUGGAAACGACAGCUAAUACCGCAUAAGAGUAGAUGUUGCAUGACAUUUGCUUAAAAGGUGCAAUUGCAUUACUACUAGAUGGACCUGCGUGGUAUUAGUUAGUUGGUGGGGUAACGGCUUACCAAGGCGACGAUACAUAGCCGACUGGAGAGGGGGACCGCCAACAUUGGAAUUGAGAAACGGUCAAGACCCUUACGGGGGGCAGAAGAGGGGAAUUUCGGCAAAUGGGGGAAGGCUUGACGAGGAAAGGCGCGGGGGUGGAGGAGGUUUUCGGGACGUUAAAGCCUGUUGAGUGGGGAGGAAGAGUAGGAGGGUGAAAAGUUCACACUGUGACGGUAUCUUACCAGAAAGCGACGGCUAACUACGUG
rnacentral:rRNA from 1 species